rnacentral:rRNA from 1 species
UACAGAGACCUCAAACGUUAUCCGGAUUCAUUGGGCGUAAAGCGUCCGCAGGUUGUUUGAUAAGUUCAUGGUCAAAUCCCGAGGCUUAACUUCGGGACUGCUGUGAAGACUGUCUUUCUAGAGGAUGGUAGAGGUAAGCGGAAUUCUCGGUGUAGUCGUAAUAAGCGCUGAUAUCGAGAGGAACACCAAAGGCGAAGGCAGCUUACUGGAACAUUCCUGACACUCAUGGACGAAAGCGUGGGGAGCGAAUAGG